ACUGCCCCUAGAGGCAUCGCAGAUGUGGCUGCUGUGUCACAUGUACAUCAAUAGGUGACAGAAAGGAGAGAAACUGUGUCCACCAUCAGUGUUCCAACCCAUGAACAUCUGAGUGCUUAGUAGCUUAACAUU
ensembl:snoRNA LOC120097233 small nucleolar RNA SNORA17